rnacentral:rRNA from 1 species
UACGUAGGAUGCGAGCGUUGUCCGGAAUCAUUGGGCGUAAAGCGCGCGUAGGUGGUCCUGUAAGUCCGCUGUGAAAGUCAAAGGCUCAACCUUUGAAAGCCGGUGGAUACUGCGGGACUAGAGUACGGAAGAGGCGAGUGGAAUUCCUGGUGUAGCGGUGAAAUGCUUAGAUAUGACAUAGAAUACCAAUUGCGAAGGCAGCUGGCUACACGAAUAUUGACACUCAGGCACGAAAGCGUGGGGAUCAAACAGG